rnacentral:rRNA from 1 species
UACGUAGGGUGCAAGCGUUGUCCGGAAUUAUUGGGCGUAAAGAGCUCGUAGGCGGUUUGUCGCGUCUGCUGUGAAAACUCGGGGCUCAACUCCGAGCUUGCAGUGGGUACGGGCAGACUAGAGUGCGGUAGGGGAGACUGGAAUUCCUGGUGUAGCGGUGGAAUGCGCAGAUAUCAGGAGGAACACCGAUGGCGAAGGCAGCUCACUGGGACGGUACUGACGCUGAGGCGCGAAAGCGUGGGGAGCAAACAGG